rnacentral:rRNA from 1 species
AACGGCCGUACCAUGCUGAAUAUACCGGUUCUCGUUAGAUCAUCGAAGACAAGCAUCAUUGGGCGCGGUCAGUACUUGGGUGGGUGACCACUUGGGAACACCGCGUGCCGUU